rnacentral:piRNA from 1 species
UGGUUCCCCAUGCACUCUUGGCCUAAGGU